AAGCCCUCCCAACAAAAAAGCAAAAUAGGGCUGGCCCUAUAAGCCCUAGAAGCCCCAAAUCUAAUCUUCUCCUCCCUGAGACCCUGACCUGAGAUUUUAGGCUGAGAACUACUUGCGUUGAAAUGGUGAAACUGUGAAAGGAUUUGCAUUGAAACGGUGAAACUGUGAAAGGAUCUGCGUUCUACCUGCGAAAUCCGUGGCUACUUCUCCUCCCUCACGUGGAAUCAGAGUGCAAUUUCCUGGUGUGGAAAACUGAAUGCUAUAGCUUGUCCCUACGAAACAUGUGCUAGAAUUCCCAGCUCAACUGCAAAUCCACUAUUUUGGAUCCCUAUACAUAUUGUGAUCCCAGAGAGGCCUAUUGAAUGUGCAGUAUUCGAUGUCCUAGUAGAUUCUCCUCGUGAUUCUGUACAGUUUAUUGAGUGGUCCCCUACUCCUUGUCCCCAUGCAUUAUUGAUAGCUAAUUUUCAUGGGAGGGUAACUAUUUGGACUCAACCAUCUCAAGUUUAACAUCA